rnacentral:lncRNA from 1 species
AUAUGAAAGUAAUAACAUUAUCAUCAUUAUGAAAUCAUAUAGACUUUAUAACAUAACACUUACCAUGCCUUUGCAUUUCAAUCAUUAAACUACAUAUUUUCCUCUUUUACCAACAUACUAGUAUCCAUGGGGAUCCAUAGGGAGUCCCCGCUACACGUGAACUAUUAACAUUAAUAACCUAAUUCCAGGGCCGUCCCCAUACCCCGUCUAGUAUGGACGCCAAAACCAUAAACCUCCAUACCCCGUCGGGUAUGAGGGUGAAACAGGCCGUCCCCGUACCCCGUCCGAUAUGGGUGCCAAAACACAU